GCUUCAUAUACUUCUACAGUACUUGAUUCAAUGUCCUUGGUGGGACCAAUUUCAUUUACUUCUGAAGUCCUUAAUAUCUCUUUGAUUGGAUCUGAUGAUUUUGGCAGCUGCUCAAUAGUAACCUCUGAAACUUCCUUCAUGGCAUUAUCAAGAUCUUGCAAAUCUGAACUAGAAUGUAGAGGAUCUCUGGAUUCAUUCACAACUAGAUGCUGCUCAAUUGUGCUGGUAACCUCUGCACCAUUUUUGGGUUGAUUGAAAGGCAGGUCAAUAUCAUCAACUGUUCCAACUUCAAGAACUGGAAGCUCCUUGGUAGAACUGCUAAAACCCACGUCAUUUACUUCUGCUUGCCCUUUGUUUAAAUCUGAUGGUUUUGACCUAUCUUUGAUAUGUUCUUCUGAAGCUUGCUUCAUGGCCACAUGAAGAUCUUCCAGAGAUCUUGCUUCAA
rnacentral:misc_RNA from 1 species